rnacentral:rRNA from 1 species
CACGUAGGGUGCGAGCGUUUGUCCGGAAUUAUUGGGCGUAAAAGAGCUCGUAGGCGGUGUGUCGCGUCGGCCGUGAAAAACCUGCAGCUUAACUGUGGGCUUGCGGUCGAUACGGGCAUCACUGGAGUUCGGGCAGGGGAGACUGGAAUUCCUGGGUGUAGCGGUGAAAUGCGCAGAUAUCAGGAGGGAACACCGGUGGGCGAAAGGCGGGGUCUCUGG